rnacentral:rRNA from 1 species
ACGCUGGCGGCAUGCUUUACACAUGCAAGUCGGACGGCAGCACAGAGAAGCUUGCUUCUUGGGUGGCGAGUGGCGAACGGGUGAGUAACAUAUCGGAACGUACCGAGUAAUGGGGGAUAACUAAUCGAAAGAUUAGCUAAUACCGCAUAUUCUCUGAGGAGGAAAGCGGGGGACCUUCGGGCCUUGCGUUAUUCGAGCGGCCGAUAUCUGAUUAGCUAGUUGGUGGGGUAAAGGCCUACCAAGGCGACGAUCAGUAGCGGGUCUGAGAGGAUGAUCCGCCACACUGGGACUGAGACACGGCCCAGACUCCUACGGGAGGCAGCAGUGGGGAAUUUUGGACAAUGGGCGCAAGCCUGAUCCAGCCAUGCCGCGUGUCUGAAGAAGGCCUUCGGGUUGUAAAGGACUUUUGUCAGGGAAGAAAAGGCUGUUGCUAAUACCGACAGUUGAUGACGGUACCUGAAGAAUAAGCACCGGCUAACUACGUGCCAGCAGCCGCGGUAAUACGUAGGGUGCGAGCGUUAAUCGGAAUUACUGGGCGUAAAGCGAGCGCAGACGGUUACUUAAGCAGGAUGUGAAAUCCCCGGGCUCAACCUGGGAACUGCGUUCUGAACUGGGUGACUAGAGUGUGUCAGAGGGAGGUAGAAUUCCACGUGUAGCAGUGAAAUGCGUAGAGAUGUGGAGGAAUACCGAUGGCGAAGGCAGCCUCCUGGGAUAACACUGACGUUCAUGCUCGAAAGCGUGGGUAGCAAACAGGAUUAGAUACCCUGGUAGUCCACGCCCUAAACGAUGUCAAUUAGCUGUUGGGCAACUUGAUUGCUUAGUAGCGUAGCUAACGCGUGAAAUUGACCGCCUGGGGAGUACGGUCGCAAGAUUAAAACUCAAAGGAAUUGACGGGGACCCGCACAAGC